rnacentral:rRNA from 1 species
AUUGAACGCUGGCGGCAGGCCUAACACAUGCAAGUCGAGCGGAUGAAGGGAGCUUGCUCCUGGAUUCAGCGGCGGACGGGUGAGUAAUGCCUAGGAAUCUGCCUGGUAGUGGGGGAUAACGUCCGGAAACGGGCGCUAAUACCGCAUACGUCCUGAGGGAGAAAGUGGGGGAUCUUCGGACCUCACGCUAUCAGAUGAGCCUAGGUCGGAUUAGCUAGUUGGUGGGGUAAGGGCCUACCAAGGCGACGAUCCGUAACUGGUCUGAGAGGAUGAUCAGUCACACUGGAACUGAGACACGGCCCAGACUCCUACGGGAGGCAGCAGUGGGGAAUAUUGGACAAUGGGCGAAAGCCUGAUCCAGCCAUGCCGCGUGUGUGAAGAAGGUCUUCGGAUUGUAAAGCACUUUAAGUUGGGAGGAAGGGCAGUAAGUUAAUACCUUGCUGUUUUGACGUUACCAACAGAAUAAGCACCGGCUAACUUCGUG